GGGGGGGCACUGUGUCUGUGUGGGCACUGUGUGUGUGUAUGUGUGAAGGCGCUGUGUGUGUAAGGGUGCUGUGUGUGUAAGGGCGCUGUGUAUGUAAGGGCGCUGUGUGUAAGGGCGCUGUGUGUAAGGGCGCUGUGUGUGUGUGAAGGCGCUGUGUGUGUGAGGGUGCUGUUAGUGUGUGUGUGUAAGGGUGCUGUGUGUGUGUAUGUGUGAGGGUGCUGUGUGUGUGAGGGUGCUGUUAGUGUGUGUGUGUAAGGGUGUGUGUGCUGUAUGUGUGUAGAUGCUGUGUGUGGGGGGUGCUGCAUGUGGGUGCUGUAUGUUUGGGUGAUUGUGUGGGGGCCGUUUAGUAAAUAUCCCCACUCCCUUCCUACCUUAUGCCUGGGAGGGGGGAUCCUUUCUGCUGCUUCCAUCCCUGG